UUUAACAAAUAUGCAUACAGAAUUUCAUUCCAUGUAUCAGGGACGCCUGGUAAGCACCAAUGAAUGCAAUCAGCGAAGUUCUUUGGAUCAGAUCUCUGUUCCUUGGUCAAGAGCUUGCCCUUGCGUUCACCAUAUAUUGUUACUUGAACCGGUACCCCAAUAUGGACCUUGGAUUGGGUAUGAUUCAUUAAAGCAGUUUUCAUUGCUCCCAGGUUUCCACUCCCAGCUCCUGGCCAAAAAAAAAAAAAAAAAAAAAUGUUGGAGUGAACUAUUUUUGCAAGCAAGGGUUGUUUUCAACUCCGGAACUUGGGAUUAGGCAGGCUGGAGGAGUUCCGUUUGGUAUUGCUUUAGUUUGAACCAUUUGAAUUGAAAUGUCAGCUUUUGACAAGAAUUGGGAACUGAAAAAGAGGCUUUGUAAAAUUAUGAUUUAGCAAAUAUGAAUUAAAACUCACCAUAAAUGUGUGGGGGACA